GUGAAUCAUCGAAUUUUUGAACGCAAAUUGCACUCUCCUCGGAGAGUAUGCCUGUUUGAGGGUCAGCCUAUAAAAAUCGACAUUGUUGCUGUUUCGCGGUUGCGUUCGUUGGGAAUUGGGUCAUCUUAAAUCCUUUUGGUUUUGAGCGACUUUAAAAUUUCUUUUUUGUUCCAUUGACGUUUCUAAGAUUUAUUUCUUUACACGUUUAAGGUAUCGAUUUUUUAUAGACGUUACCAUCA
rnacentral:misc_RNA from 1 species